rnacentral:snRNA from 1 species
AGAGAAUCCCUUAAACCUGGGAGGUGGAUGUUGCAGCGAGCUGAGAUCAUGCCACUGCACUUCAGCCUGGGUUACAGAG